rnacentral:lncRNA from 1 species
GGGAAGAGAUGACGACGCUGGCGGUUGGUGCAUGCAACUCAAUAUGGUAUUAGGACCAGAGGUCUCGAGUUCAAAUCGCGGGCACAAUUAAAUAAAUAAUUAUAGCCCACUCCAAUUUCCACGUAUGCGGUCUAGGGGAGCUAGCACGUGAGGGGGAGUGUUGGAGUAUAAGUGAAUUUGCCAUAUUUUCCUAUCAGUUUAAGCUUUUGGGUUGAAGCAUGCAACUCAAUACAUUUGGUUGAGUAGACGUAACGUGGUUUUCAAUAGUCUCUUUCAUGCAGGUUAUUUUUAGGGGACUUGUUGGAUCCGAAAUUCGAAAUUGGUCGCUGCUAUUUAAAGAGAUAUUUAAAGAGAAAAAGAGAUGUUUUGAAGAGGGGAUGUAGGAAGUUGGAGACUAAUGGAGCUCUUUAAUAAUUUUGGUUGGAAGUUUAGCAAUAGGAUUGAAGCUUAGCUGUCUGUCCUAGCUUAAUAUGUUUGAAACUUUCUUCUUUUAAAUGGUAUGUUGUAGUCUAAGUGCUACUUUCGGUCCAUAAUGAGGCUAUAUACACUCACAUGUGAUUCUAGAGGUUGGAACUUUUAUUCCUUUAUUAAAAAAUAGUUCAAGAGGGACAAACAAACUGUAUUUUCGAAAGAGCUAUCCAAAAAAAUUCAUGUUCUAUAUACUUUAAAAUACAGGAAAAGAAAAAAAAGAUAAAAGCAAAGUGUGACCAUUGACCAGAAGAUUCGAGGGCCGUUUGCGGCAACAACUAGGCCCAGUGCAGGAAAACAGAACGGCC